rnacentral:rRNA from 1 species
GACUGGAAUCGCUAGUAAUCGCGGAUCAGAAUGCCGCGGUGAAUACGUUCCCGGGUCUUGUACACACCGCCCAUCACACCAUGGGAGUCGGAAAUGCCCGAAGUCUGUGACCCAACCUUAGGGAGGAAGCAGCCGAAGGCAGGUCGGAUGACUGGGGUGAAGUCGUAACAAGGUAAC